GAUGAACGCUGGCGGCGUGCCUAAUACAUGCAAGUCGAGCGAAAAGAUGAGGAGCUUGCUCCUCUGACGUUAGCGGCGGACGGGUGAGUAACACGUGGAUAACCUACCUAUAAGACUGGGAUAACUUCGGGAAACCGGAGCUAAUACCGGAUAAUCUAUUGAACCGCAUGGUUCAAUAGUGAAAGACGGUUUUGCUGUCACUUAUAGAUGGAUCCGCGCCGCAUUAGCUAGUUGGUAAGGUAACGGCUUACCACGGCAACGAUGCGUAGCCGACCUGAGAGGGUGAUAGGCGACACGGGAACUGGGACAGGGACCAGGCGCCUACGGGAGGGAGCAGUAGGGAAUCGUCCGCAAUGGGCGAAAGCCUGACGGAGCAACGCCGCGUGAGUGAUGAAGGUCUUCGGAUCGGAAAACUCUGUUAUGAGUGAAGAACAAAUGUGUAAGUAACUAUGCACGUCGUGACGGUACCUAAUCAGAAAGCCACGGCUAACUACGUG
rnacentral:rRNA from 1 species